rnacentral:rRNA from 1 species
GUGCCAGCAGCCGCGGUAAUACGUAGGGUGCGAGCGUUAAUCGGAAUUACUGGGCGUAAAGCGUGCGCAGGCGGCUUUGCAAGACAGAGGUGAAAUCCCCGGGCUCAACCUGGGAACUGCCUUUGUGACUGCAAGGCUAGAGUACGGCAGAGGGGGAUGGAAUUCCGCGUGUAGCAGUGAAAUGCGUAGAUAUGCGGAGGAACACCGAUGGCGAAGGCAAUCCCCUGGGCCUGUACUGACGCUCAUGCACGAAAGCGUGGGGAGCAAACAGGAUUAGAUA